rnacentral:rRNA from 1 species
AUUGAACGCUGGCGGCAUGCUUUACACAUGCAAGUCGAACGGUAACAGGGAGCUUGCUCCGCUGACGAGUGGCGAACGGGUGAGUAAUGCAUCGGAACGUACCCAGUCGUGGGGGAUAACGUAGCGAAAGUUACGCUAAUACCGCAUACGUCCUGAGGGAGAAAGCGGGGGACCGUAAGGCCUCGCGCGAUUGGAGCGGCCGAUGUCGGAUUAGCUAGUUGGUAGGGUAAAGGCCUACCAAGGCGACGAUCCGUAGCGGGUCUGAGAGGAUGAUCCGCCACACUGGGACUGAGACACGGCCCAGACUCCUACGGGAGGCAGCAGUGGGGAAUUUUGGACAAUGGGCGAAAGCCUGAUCUAGCCAUGCCGCGUGAGUGAAGAAGGCCUCGGGUUGUAAGACUCUUUCUAGUACGGAAAGAAAUACGCA